GCCCGGUUAGCUCAAUCGGUAGAGCGUGAGACUCUUACGGGCAGCCGCGCGAUCUCAAGGUUGCGGGUUCGACCCCCGCAUCGGGCU